AUGGUUUUGAUGUCUGUUUCGUAUGGAUCGUAGCUAAGUCCGUUUCUCCUGCAUAUUUUUCAUAAAGUCCUCUACAAUUCCUGCAUAUUAUGGAAAGUGGUCGCAAGAGGUGUUUUGAGGAAAUUCCAAAGCCGUACAUGCUAGAUAAGAUCUUCAUGGUGUGUAUUGUUCACUUAGAAGAAAAUGUAAUUUACUCUAUUCUAUGGUAUAUUAAGUUUGUAUUGGAUUUUUUGGACCUCAUGCAGAGGU
rnacentral:lncRNA from 1 species